UUGGUUUUACUUUGUGUUUUUUUUUUUUUUUUUGGGGUCACGACGUAGGUAUCGAAUUGUACUUGCCCAUGUCGCGAUCUUUUGAUAGAGUGUUCAUUUGAAAUGGGUUGAGGAAUUACAAUGCAGCACAGGUGUUCGUUAAAAUUCCCAUGCGAAGGAACGAAACGUGGGCCGAGAGAAUAAGCGUGCGCUUCUUCUAGAAUCACGUCUUGGUCCUUCAUUUGAGUACGACUCAGGCGGGUCGAAUGAACUUAUUGUGAGGCGAGGAAGAUAUACGGGUGUGUCUUUACAAAAGACAAAUGGUGAGCCAAAGGUGACAACAGGGCGAAGAUUGGCUGGCUUGAGGAUGUUCCUGGAAAUGAGCAUCAAAUGUACUAGAAGGGCAAGACUUCCUCCAAGAGAAUGGCCUGUAAAUUGAAACUUUGCACGAUCCCCAAACUUGUUGAGAUAGCAUAGAUGCUGAUGCAAGGGCCUAUUUUGUUAGAACUGGAUCAAUUGGAAGGAAGAAGAUUACCUGAAUGACAAAACAGCGUGUAUACGUGCUUAAAUCGUCACAAAUGAACCACUCGCAAGGUGAUGAGUGUAGUGAUUGCAGGUCCCUUGCUGCCUCUUGUUUUUCUUUCUCUCCUGCUGCAACCACUGAGAACCAACAGGGGGAAGUUCCUUAGCUCGAGAUUGGACAUAAGAUGCAGCUGAAGCAGCAAUGUCAUAAGCAACUGAUGGACGGAUUGGGUGCUUAAAGUCUUUUUCCGAGUGGCAGCUAUCAGUAGUUGCGACUGAAACUACAGCUGGUAUCGCCGUUUUCAACCAUUUCAGAAGAAUUAUCUCCAUCCAGACCAUUGAUUUGAUGUUUAUUUCUCCAGUGGCUCCUGAUCUC